rnacentral:lncRNA from 1 species
GCCGGGGCACCGGCCCCUCGUCGGGAAGGCCGGACGGCGGAGCGCUGCCACGUAUCGCCCCCACCCCCGCCCACGUAACGGCCGCCGCGGCCUCCGGACCGGGACGUUCCCCUCAGGGCGCGCCGCGCCGCCUCGUCCCCCUGACCCACCCACACGCCGCCGCCGCCACAUAGGCGGAAAGAAAUUAGUCGAAAAUGGGAACCUCCGCCAGGACGAUAAAAAACUGCUGAAGUAUCAGAGCCUACCUAGUUCCUGGCAGUGGCUGUGCUCCAAGUCUUUGAUCAUACUCAUCCUCUUUGAACCUUUUCCUGUUUUUCACUAUCCUUUUGGAGACGACGGGCCGUGACCUGCAUACAGUGUUUGAAGACACAGGUGAGUCAUCUUUGUAUCAUAACAAGUUAGCUCACAGUACUGCUUAGCUUU